UGGCGGACGGGUGAGUAAUGUCUGGGAAACUGCCUGAUGGAGGGGGAUAACUACUGGAAACGGUAGCUAAUACCGCAUAACGUCGCAAGACCAAAGAGGGGGACCUUAGGGCCUCUUGCCAUCGGAUGUGCCCAGAUGGGAUUAGCUAGUAGGUGGGUAAAGGCUCACCUAGGCGACGAUCCCUAGCUGGUCUGAGAGGAUGACCAGCCACACUGGAACUGAGACACGGUCCAG
rnacentral:rRNA from 1 species